UCUCUGUUCGUAUAUCGGUUAGUACACGCGCCUGUCAUUGGACUCCAGUGUCGCGCGAAAGCUGGGUUCGAUUCCCAGACAGAGAG